rnacentral:rRNA from 1 species
UUAGGCGUGUGACUGCGUACCUUUUGUAUAAUGGGUCAGCGACUUAUAUUCUGUAGCAAGGUUAACCGAAUAGGGGAGCCGAAGGGAAACCGAGUCUUAACUGGGCGUUAAGUUGCAGGGUAUAGACCCGAAACCCGGUGAUCUAGCCAUGGGCAGGUUGAAGGUUGGGUAACACUAACUGGAGGACCGAACCGACUAAUGUUGAAAAAUUAGCGGAUGACUUGUGGCUGGGGGUGAAAGGCCAAUCAAACCGGGAGAUAGCUGGUUCUCCCCGAAAGCUAUUUAGGUAGCGCCUCGUGAAUUCAUCUCCGGGGGUAGAGCACUGUUUCGGCAAGGGGGUCAUCCCGACUUACCAACCCGAUGCAAACUGCGAAUACCGGAGAAUGUUAUCACGGGAGACACACGGCGGGUGCUAACGUCCGUCGUGAAGAGGGAAACAACCCAGACCGCCAGCUAAGGUCCCAAAGUCAUGGUUAAGUGGGAAACGAUGUGGGAAGGCCCAGACAGCCAGGAUGUUGGCUUAGAAGCAGCCAUCAUUUAAAGAAAGCGUAAUAGCUCACUGGUCGAGUCGGCCUGCGCGGAAGAUGUAACGGGGCUAAACCAUGCACCGAAGCUGCGGCAGCGACGCUUAUGCGUUGUUGGGUAGGGGAGCGUUCUGUAAGCCUGUGAAGGUGUACUGUGAGGUAUGCUGGAGGUAUCAGAAGUGCGAAUGCUGACAUAAGUAACGAUAAAGCGGGUGAAAAGCCCGCUCGCCGGAAGACCAAGGGUUCCUGUCCAACGUUAAUCGGGGCAGGGUGAGUCGACCCCUAAGGCGAGGCCGAAAGGCGUAGUCGAUGGGAAACAGGUUAAUAUUCCUGUACUUGGUGUUACUGCGAAGGGGGGACGGAGAAGGCUAUGUUGGCCGGGCGACGGUUGUCCCGGUUUAAGCGUGUAGGCUGGUUUUCCAGGCAAAUCCGGAAAAUCAAGGCUGAGGCGUGAUGACGAGGCACUACGGUGCUGAAGCAACAAAUGCCCUGCUUCCAGGAAAAGCCUCUAAGCAUCAGGUAACAUCAAAUCGUACCCCAAACCGACACAGGUGGUCAGGUAGAGAAUACCAAGGCGCUUGAGAGAACUCGGGUGAAGGAACUAGGCAAAAUGGUGCCGUAACUUCGGGAGAAGGCACGCUGAUAUGUAGGUGAAGUCCCUCGCGGAUGGAGCUGAAAUCAGUCGAAGAUACCAGCUGGCUGCAACUGUUUAUUAAAAACACAGCACUGUGCAAACACGAAAGUGGACGUAUACGGUGUGACGCCUGCCCGGUGCCGGAAGGUUAAUUGAUGGGGUUAGCGCAAGCGAAGCUCUUGAUCGAAGCCCCGGUAAACGGCGGCCGUAACUAUAACGGUCCUAAGGUAGCGAAAUUCCUUGUCGGGUAAGUUCCGACCUGCACGAAUGGCGUAAUGAUGGCCAGGCUGUCUCCACCCGAGACUCAGUGAAAUUGAACUCGCUGUGAAGAUGCAGUGUACCCGCGGCAAGACGGAAAGACCCCGUGAACCUUUACUAUAGCUUGACACUGAACAUUGAGCCUUGAUGUGUAGGAUAGGUGGGAGGCUUUGAAGUGUGGACGCCAGUCUGCAUGGAGCCGACCUUGAAAUACCACCCUUUAAUGUUU